AGGACGAACGCUGGCGGCGUGCUUAACACAUGCAAGUCGAGCGGAAAGGCCCUUCGGGGUACUCGAGCGGCGAACGGGUGAGUAACACGUGAGCAACCCGCCCUUAGCUCUGGGAUAGCUCCGGGAAACCGGAAUUAAUACCGGAUAUUACACCGGCUGGCAUCGGCUGGUGUGGAAAGAUUUAUCGGCUAAGGAUGGACUCGCGGCCUAUCAGCUUGUUGGUGGGGUAGAAGCCUACCAAGGCGACGACGGGUA
rnacentral:rRNA from 1 species